AAGGAAAUGUCGUAUCAUGAUCAUCUUCAGUUUUGAAAGACUUAGAGUAGAUAAGUUUUUCUUUUGGCGUAGAGGAAGGGCCUAUAGCUCAGUUGGUAGAGCACACGCUUGAUAAGCGUGCGGUCAAUGGUUCAAGUCCAUUUAGGCCCACCAUACCACAUUCCUCUUAUUCA
rnacentral:misc_RNA from 2 species